GGUCUCUAUGAAACAAUCAGAGGGUCUGGAAACUCUGGAAAUGGUCAAGAACAACAGGAUGGUACUAAUGUGACUGCAGGGUCAGACUAACCUGGAACAUUUUUUCUAGAGGGGUCCUGUCUAGACCUAAACAUCUUUGAUCUGGGUUCAAAUCCUUUGGCUCCUCAGAACCUACCAUGACAGUAGUAUCAGCGGCACCAGGAUGAAGUCCAGUCAUCUGAGAGUUUUCCUUCUAUCCAGCAGCUUU